rnacentral:lncRNA from 1 species
CCGGAGGUUAAAUCAUCUGACCAGCACAAGAAAGCAGUGAAGUUGGGAUUCCUACCAGUGGUUUUGGCCCCAGAAUCAUCUCCACAUGAUACGUUUAGAAGGACAGGGGCCUCGUCAAUGCCUGUGGGUGAAAAGAUGCCCUUUCUCUUUUCUACUGAAAGUGCCCCUGUGAGACCAAGGCUACUACCAUUCAACAGAGGCAGGAAUGGAGGUGCACAAACUGACUCCCUGGGAUUGAAAGAAGUAGCCAGUGAGCCAGAUAAGAUGAGCCAGGACACACGAUGCUGAUGGGUCAAGGAAGGUCAGUCCUGGGAGCUGACCACAGAUUGGACUGACCCAGAAGACAGUGCCAGCUCCCUGAGGAGGGGCAGCUGGGUGGAUGCAGUGAAUGCCAAUCCCUCUUUUUGGUACCAGCACCUGGGUUUUCCUUGGGGAGAAUGCUACUCCCUUAAUAUACACAUCUUGCCAAGCUGUCACUCAAGAGGCUCAGUUUCCCUUGGGUAAGGCAGGGAUGGGGGGCUCAGCUAAGACCAACAGUCUCUCCCUCCUGAAAUUCUCAUCUUUGACUGGCAUAAGACAAAACAAAACAAAACGACAAAAAAAGCCACGAAUUACCCCAGGAAGAGGCGCCGUGAAAAUACUACAUGCUCUUCCUCCUGUUCCCUGGGUUUGUUCUUCCUCCUUUUCCCAUUUCCUGUUUAUUCUAAGACUUCCACUUCAAUUCCUCUAUCCCCUGUGAUUCCAAUGACCUGUCUUUGCAGAAGAGCUUUAAUCAGCUGGUCAGUUUCUAAGGCUUUCAUCCAAGGAACCCUCAUUGAUGUGAAACAACAAAGUGAGACUUCCAUCCUCGAAUGUGCAGCCAGGAAGUGGCAGAAAGGAGCUUUGCAUAAACUUCUUCUCAUUUCAAAUCCUAUGCUCUUUCUCCCACGCCUCAGCCAUUUGCCUUUAAAAUCAAUUGCAUCCUGAAGUGAAGAGCUUUGCAAGAACAGUGCUAUCAGAAACAACCAUACUCCACCAGAGCAAUCACAGCACCUCCCAGAACCCCUGGGACUUUUGCUUGGACUCGGGCAAGUGAGUAGACAGCUCGGAUGGGGCGAGCACCUGCUGGUUCAUCCACCAAAUAUGAACAUGGCCCAAGAGUGAGACCCCAAGACCCGAAAUUGCACCAAU